GCUAGUUGCACGAGUUGAGACUCGUAGCAGAUAGCUCAGUAACACGUGGCCAAACUACCCUAUGGAUCCGAAUAACCUCGGGAAACUGAGGCUAAUUCGGAAUACGAUUCACGACCUGGAGUGGUGUGAAUCCGAAACGCUCCGGCGCCAUAGGAUGUGGCUGCGGCCGAUUAGGUAGACGGUGGGGUAACGGCCCACCGUGCCCAUAAUCGGUACGGGUUGUGAGAGCAAGAGCCCGGAGACGGUAUCUGAGACAAGAUACCGGGCCCUACGGGGCGCAGCAGGCGCGAAACCUUUACACUGCACGCGAGUGCGAUAGGGGGACUCCAAGUGCGAGGGCAUAUAGUCCUCGCUUUUUGCGACCGUAAGGAGGUCGCGGAAUAAGUGCUGGGCAAGACCGGUGCCAGCCGCCGCGGUAAUACCGGCAGCACGAGUGAUGACCGCUAUUAUUGGGCCUAAAGCGUCCGUAGCUGGCCGUGCAAGUCCAUCGGGAAAUCCGCGCGCUUAACGCGCGGGCGUCCGGUGGAAACUGCACGGCUUGGGACCGGAAGACCAGAGGGGUACGUCCGGGGUAGGAGUGAAAUCCCGUAAUCCUGGACGGACCACCGGUGGCGAAAGCGCCUCUGGAAGACGGAUCCGACGGUGAGGGACGAAAGCUCGGGUCACGAACCGGAUUAGAUACCCGGGUAGUCCGAGCUGUAAACGAUGUCUGCUAGGUGUGGCACA
rnacentral:rRNA from 1 species